GAUGAACGCUGGCGGCGUGCCUAAUACAUGCAAGUAGAACGCUGAAGGAAGGAGCUUGCUCUUUCCGGAUGAGUUGCGAACGGGUGAGUAACGCGUAGGUAACCUGCCUGGUAGCGGGGGAUAACUAUUGGAAACGAUAGCUAAUACCGCAUAACAGUAGAUAUUGCAUGAUCAUCUGCUUGAAAGGGGCAAUUGCUCCACUACCAGAUGGACCUGCGUUGUAUUAGCUAGUUGGUGAGGUAACGGCUCACCAAGGCGACGAUACAUAGCCGACCUGAGAGGGUGAUCGGCCACACUGGGACUGAGACACGGCCCAGACUCCUACGGGAGGCAGCAGUAGGGAAUCUUCGGCAAUGGACGGAAGUCUGACCGAGCAACGCCGCGUGAGUGAAGAAGGUUUUCGGAUCGUAAAGCUCUGUUGUAAGAGAAGAACGAGUGUGAGAGUGGAAAGUUCACACUGUGACG
rnacentral:rRNA from 1 species